rnacentral:rRNA from 1 species
UGUGAGCUCGAUGAGUAGGGCGGGACACGUGGUAUCCUGUCUGAAUAUGGGGGGACCAUCCUCCAAGGCUAAAUACUCCUGACUGACCGAUAGUGAACCAGUACCGUGAGGGAAAGGCGAAAAGAACCCCGGCGAGGGGAGUGAAAAAGAACCUGAAACCGUGUACGUACAAGCAGUGGGAGCCUCUUUUAUGGGGUGACUGCGUACCUUUUGUAUAAUGGGUCAGCGACUUAUAUUCUGUAGCAAGGUUAACCGAAUAGGGGAGCCGAAGGGAAACCGAGUCUUAACUGGGCGUUAAGUUGCAGGGUAUAGACCCGAAACCCGGUGAUCUAGCCAUGGGCAGGUUGAAGGUUGGGUAACACUAACUGGAGGACCGAACCGACUAAUGUUGAAAAAUUAGCGGAUGACUUGUGGCUGGGGGUGAAAGGCCAAUCAAACCGGGAGAUAGCUGGUUCUCCCCGAAAGCUAUUUAGGUAGCGCCUCGUGAAUUCAUCUCCGGGGGUAGAGCACUGUUUCGGCAAGGGGGUCAUCCCGACUUACCAACCCGAUGCAAACUGCGAAUACCGGAGAAUGUUAUCACGGGAGACACACGGCGGGUGCUAACGUCCGUCGUGAAGAGGGAAACAACCCAGACCGCCAGCUAAGGUCCCAAAGUCAUGGUUAAGUGGGAAACGAUGUGGGAAGGCCCAGACAGCCAGGAUGUUGGCUUAGAAGCAGCCAUCAUUUAAAGAAAGCGUAAUAGCUCACUGGUCGAGUCGGCCUGCGCGGAAGAUGUAACGGGGCUAAACCAUG